AAGUCGUAACAAGGUUUCCGUAGGUGAACCUGCGGAAGGAUCAUUAUCACAAAUGAUUUUUAACUCUCUUAAUCCAGAGUUAAACCUCUUCUUAAACCAAUCUAAUUAAAAUGUGAAAUCGUUUUAUUUUAAGACUUGGCAACAAGUCUUAAAAUUAUUAACCAAUUGAACCCUUUUCUAAUUAAUGUUAUUUUAUUUAUUUAGUUCUGAAAUCUAUUAUAUAUCAAUAUGUAAUAAUAUUGACAUGAAAUAAGUUACAUUACGAAACAAUUUAAAUAAAACAACUCUUAGCAACGGAUAUCUUGGUUCUC
rnacentral:misc_RNA from 1 species